rnacentral:rRNA from 1 species
GACGAACGCUGGCGGCGUGCCUAAUACAUGCAAGUCGAACGCUUCUUUCCUCCCGAGUGCUUGCACUCAAUUGGAAAGAGGAGUGGCGGACGGGUGAGUAACACGUGGGUAACCUACUCAUCAGAGGGGGAUAACACUUGGAAACAGGUGCUAAUACCGCAUAACAGUUUAUGCCGCAUGGCAUAAGAGUGAAAGGCGCUUUCGGGCGUCGCUGAUGGAUGGACCCGCGGUGCAUUAGCUAGUUGGUGAGGUAACGGCUCACCAAGGCCACGAUGCAUAGCCGACCUGAGAGGGUGAUGGGCCACACUGGGACUGAGACACGGCCCAGACUCCGACGGGAGGCAGCAGUAGGGAAGCUUCGGCAAUUGUCGAAAGUCUGACCGAGCAACGCCGCGUGAGUGAAGAAGGUUUUCGGAUCGUAAACCUCUGGUGUUAGAGAAGAACAAGGACGUUAGUAACUGAACGUCCCCUGACGGUAUCUAACCAGAAAGCCACGGCUAACUACGUG